CAAAAGCCAUCCAAGAAUUUCCAGGCCUUGUUAAUUUUGAGAUAUGGCUUCAAGAACUGUGGCCUACACUGCCCUUCUCCUGUCUCUCAACCUCCUCUUCUUCACAUUGGUGAGCUCUUCCUCUUGCCCACCACCAUCACCAAAACCAAAAGGCCCUUCACCUCAACCGAGUAACCCAUCGCCAAAGCCAAAAACCCCGGCACCAAGCAACCCAUCGCCAAAGCCAAAACUCCCCUCACCUCAACCGAGUAACCCAUCGCCAAAGCCAAAAACCCCGGCACCAAGCAACCCAUCGCCAAAGCCAAAACU
rnacentral:misc_RNA from 1 species